rnacentral:lncRNA from 1 species
AAAGAUUACAUUGUUUCCCCCAACAACAAUAGGGUUUAGUUCACCAUUGUCAUGAUGAAUCUAGAUGAAGAAUGGAAUGAAAGAGAUACAAACCCUAAAAAGGAGAAAAGGAGAGUUGUCACCAUCUCCAAAUCUACCCCAAAGGGGUGAAAAGUGUGUUUCUGUGCCUAAACCAUCAAAAGAUACAAACCCUAAGACAUUCUGGC